rnacentral:lncRNA from 1 species
AGGUAGAGAUAUAUGUUUAAAUGAAUGAAUAGUUACAGCAGAGAAGGAGUCUCUCUUCCUCAAGCCUGCUCCUUUGUCUAGGAUUUGCCCAGUUGGGGAAGGACGGGAAGUUAGAUUGCAAAACCUCUGCUUUCCUUCCCUCGCUGCUCUGUUUUGCCCACCUGACCUAGCAGUAGUAAAUGUGUAGAUGUCACCCAACAAACAUUCAGUGUGUCAUUUGCAUGAAAACCCCAUGCCAGGGGCAAGGGAGAUGGCUCAGUGGAUAAAGUGCCUACCAUGCAAACACAAGGGCCUGAGUUUGGGUCUCCAGCACUAACAUAAAGGACAGGCAUUAUCACACAUGUCUGUCUGCCACCUGAGUGAUGGAGAAAGGAUCUCUAAGUCUUCUGGCCUGACGAUCCAGCCAAUGGGCAAGCUCCAGGAUUACAGCGAAACCCUGUCUGAAAGGGGGCGUGUUUGGAUUGUUAACUCUGUCAGAGUAGAAAAAUUCAACAGUGAUGCCACCGGCUAGUCACUCUUCAAAGUUUGCAGUUUCCUUAUUUGCCAGGAUGUGAGAAGGCUCAUCCCUAAGCUCCUGCCACCUCACCUGAUCUCCAUAACCAACUGGAGUCCCUGAGGCUUGAGACCAGACGCAUUCUUCCUCCCUUAAGCUGCAUCAGGCCUAGCAGUGAGAAGAGCUGCCCAAUGGUUGGCCUCCAUCAAGAGACUGGGCAGCUAGAGGAGCUGGUGUUAAGUGCAGACGGUUCCACAUUGGUGGUUAUGUGUUUCACUUUUUACGUAAUGGCACACCAAGGAAUGCAACUAUAAUAUAAAGAAAGCUACACGUCAGUCUGCCAUAGAAGCACAUUGGGAAUGUCUCCUGUGAAAGAGCAAAGCGGGCCAGGAAUUGUUUUUUUCCAAAGAAUGAAGUGAAGCUCAACUCUCAAGAAAUAGAUCUGACAGCUCUGCAGUUUGUGUCCCUAGGUAAACUAUUUCUGUUGAUGGCUGCUCCAUUCCUUCAGACCCAGAGGACACUGACACGGGACUGAUAGGACAGUGUGUUUAUUGUGAUGAUGUCCUAUUCACCGACCCUAAGAGGGAACUCUGCAUAAAAACAACACCUACUAACUAUCUUGUUCAUGCUAGAGACUAAUUAUUUCCCUGCCAGGAGAUCUUUCCCUCUUGUUGCUCUCAGGUAUAAUUAUGGUCAAAAUAAUGCAAAUGAACUAACUCAAGACCUGGACAUACCUUUUUGAGGAAUACAAGUCAACCUACAAUAAUCU